GAUGAACGCUAGCGGCAGGCCUAACACAUGCAAGUCGAGGGGUAUAGUAGCAAUACUAGAGACCGGCGCACGGGUGCGUAACGCGUAUGCAAUCUACCUUUUACAGGGGAAUAGCCCAGAGAAAUUUGGAUUAAUGCCCCAUAGUAUAUAAGAAUCGCAUGGUUUUUAUAUUAAAGUUCCAACGGUAAAAGAUGAGCAUGCGUCCCAUUAGUUAGUUGGUAAGGUAACGGCUUACCAAGACUAUGAUGGGUAGGGGUCCUGAGAGGGAGAUCCCCCACACUGGUACUGAGACACGGACCAGACUCCUACGGGAGGCAGCAGUGAGGAAUAUUGGACAAUGGGCGCAAGCCUGAUCCAGCCAUGCCGCGUGCAGGAAGACGCAUCUAUGGUGUGUAAACUGCUUUUGUACAGGAAGAAACACUCCCUCGUGAGGGAGCUUGACGGUACUGUAAGAAUAAGGAUCGGCUAACUCCGUGCCAGCAGCCGCGGUAAUACGGAGGAUCCAAGCGUUAUCCGGAAUCAUUGGGUUUAAAGGGUCCGUAGGCGGUUUAAUAAGUCAGUGGUGAAAGCCCAUCGCUCAACGAUGGAACGGCCAUUGAUACUGUUAGACUUGAAUUAUUAGGAAGUAACUAGAAUAUGUAGUGUAGCGGUGAAAUGCUUAGAUAUUACAUGGAAUACCAAUUGCGAAGGCAGGUUACUACUAAUGGA
rnacentral:rRNA from 1 species